UACGGAGGGAGCUAGCGUUAUUCGGAAUUACUGGGCGUAAAGCGCACUAGGCGGCUUUGUAAGUAAGAGGUGAAAGCCUGGAGCUCAACUCCAGAAUUGCCUUUUAGACUGCAUCGCUUGAAUCAUGGAGAGGUGAGUGGAAUUCCGAGUGUAGAGGUGAAAUUCGUAGAUAUUCGGAAGAACACCAGUGGCGAAGGCGGCUCACUGGACAUGUAUUGACGCUGAGGUGCGAAAGCGUGGGGAGCAAACAGG
rnacentral:rRNA from 1 species